GUCUCGGCACUCCGUCUCCAUGGCGACGGGUUAGUGAUUAAACGUCCACUUUGUCACGCGGGAGCGACGUAAUGCAUCAACACAGCGCCGGCUGCGGUUUGAUCGUAUCACACCGGAGGCCUGCGUGUUAAACUGCACCACCUCCAUGCGCUGCUUUGACAAGAUCUUCAGGCUGGAGGGCGGCUUGGCUUUAGCUCCAACACUUCAGCCUGAAACGCACAAAGAAGAAUGGACACUUCAUUUAAUGGCGAUGUGUCUCCAGCCGUCCCCCUCCUCUGCUCGUCUGAAUGAAGACUUCCUCCAACACGCCGACCGUCGCUCUGCUAUUCUUAUCUCGCCGAGUGACAACAGAAGAAACUUUAAAUUGGGCCUCAAAGAAGCGACUGCCGAGGAGAGAAACGUCCGGAAGCUGAUUCCAGCUCACGGAACAGAAGCGUCGCGUGCAAAGGAUUGUGGGUAUUUUUGGAGGAUUAACGCGUCCUUUAAUAUCUUCCAAUUGAAGGAUUCAGCUCUCAGAAUAAUUCUGAGGAUCCUUUUUUAUAUUUCUGAGAGGACAGAUUUAGUACAUACUUAUUAUUAUAAGUAUUAGUAUUAUUUUACACAAAGAAAGUAUAACUACUAUCAUUAUUUUGGUGGAUUGAACUGGUCUGACGGGCUUUGAUUCACGUCCCGUUCACGUCUGAGAAAGACUAACAAAUAAAAAACAAAUUUCCGAAUCCAA
ensembl:lncRNA